UAAUUAUUAACAGGGCAGUCGCCGCUUCGCAACUUUGAGCUGCUUGUAUCUUGUCCCCUUACCCUGUGGACCAGCAAGCUGGGGGAGGCAGCAGCUCUGCAGGGCAGGAGAUGGGGCUCUGGCGCUGCGCUCCAUCUCUGUGCAUCUCAGCAAACACAGAAACACAUUAUCGUAAGUGCUUCUCACCUACACAGGAAUUGUUCACAAGGUUAGCUGAGGGUUCUCUUCCCAUGGAGGGGCAGGGAGAAGGCCGUGUGCUGCUCUCUGCACGAGGGAUGUGCUCGGGAUUUGGGCACACAGCACAGCUGCCCCCAGAGCUGGGCCAGCUCCAUCCACACUCUGCAUCAUUCAUCGGUUUAUUGCUGAUCACUUUAUAUUUGGCUGGAAGUUUUUGCACAUCCAAG
rnacentral:lncRNA from 1 species